rnacentral:rRNA from 1 species
GGCCGGAUGGGCAAAGGUGUGAUUCCACCACAGGAGAGGCUUGCGUGAUAUUAGCUAGUUGGUGAGGUAACGGCUCACCAAGGCAACGAUGUCUAGGGGAUGUUAGCGCAUGAUCCCCACCACUGGGACUGAGACACUGCCCAGACACCUACGGGUGGCUGCAGUCGAGAAUCUUCGGCAAUGGGGGCAACCCCUGACCGAGCGACGCCGCGUGUGGGAUGAAGGCCUUUGGGUCGUAAACCACUGUCAGAGGGGAUGAAGUGCGCGGGGGUUCUCCCCCGUGUUUGACAGAGCCUCAGAGGAAGCACGGGCUAAGUUCGUG